rnacentral:lncRNA from 1 species
CUCCCUUAAGACCUUAUCACCAAGACACAUGAUGAUAAGACUAUGUGUCUUUUCUUGGAUCUCAAUUCUUUUGAGAGCAGCUUCUGCAGCCUUUGCAUCUGGUUUCUUGUCAUCUGUAUCAAGAGAAAUAGAUGAGGAUCCAGAAUCUCCAUCCUUGAGUGCUGAUGCAAGCCCUUGUUGAGUCAAGAGAGCUUUCAUCUUGAUUCUCCAAAGUCCAAAAUCAUUCUUCCCUGUGAACUUCUCAGUUUCCAGCUUAGUUGAUCCCAUAGCUUUAAACACCUUCAAACCCUGAAAUUGAACCUCCAAUCGUGGGAAGGAUUUCCACAGACAGCGCCACUU